rnacentral:rRNA from 1 species
GAUGAACGCUGGCGGCGUGCCUAAUACAUGCAAGUCGAGCGAACAGACGAGGAGCUUGCUCCUCUGACGUUAGCGGCGGACGGGUGAGUAACACGUGGAUAACCUACCUAUAAGACUGGGAUAACUUCGGGAAACCGGAGCUAAUACCGGAUAAUAUAUUGAACCGCAUGGUUCAAUAGUGAAAGACGGUUUUGAUGUCACUUAUAGAUGGAUCCGCGCCGCAUUAGCUAGUUGGUAAGGUAACGGCUUACCAAGGCAACGAUGCGUAGCUGACCUGAGAGGGUGAUCGGCCACACUGGAACUGGCACACGGUCCAGACUCCUACGGGAGGCAGCAGUAGGGAAUCUUCCGCAAUGGGCGAAAGCUUGACGGAGCAACGCCGCGUGAGUGAUGAAGGUCUUCGGAUCGUAAAACUCUGUUAUUAGGGAAGAACAAAUGUGUAAGUAACUAUGCACGUCUUGACGGUACCUAAUCAGAAAGCCACGGCUAACUACGUG